UCAGUAACUGCGAGUGAAGCGGCAAAAGCUCAAAUUUGAAAUCUGGCGCCUCCGGCGUCCGAGUUGUAAUUUGGAGGGACAUCUUCGGGGCUGGCGCCGUCCUAAGUUCCUUGGAACAGGACGUCACAGAGGGUGAGAAUCCCGUGCCUGGGCGGAUGCCCAGCUCCAUGUGAAGUGUCUCCGACGAGUCGAGUUGUUUGGGAAUGCAGCUCAAAAUGGGUGGUAAAUUUCAUCUAAAGCUAAAUAUUGGCGAGAGACCGAUAGCGCACAAGUAGAGUGAUCGAAAGAUGAAAAGCACUUUGAAAAGAGAGUUAAAAAGUACGUGAAAUUGUUGAAAGGGAAGCGCUUGCGACCAGACUCGACCUUUGGCGAUCAGCCGGGCUUCGGCUCGGUGCCAUCGCCAUUGGUUGGGCCAGCAUCGGUUCUGACGGCGGGAUAAAAGGCGAAGGAAUGUGGCCUCCUUCGGGGGGUGUUAUAGCCUUCGUCAAAAUGCCGCCAGUCGGGACCGAGGACCGCGCUUCGGCUAGGAUGCUGGCGUAAUGGUCUUAAGCGACCCGUCUUGAAACACGGACCAAGGAGUCUAACAUCUAUGCGAGUGUUCGGGUGGAAAACCCUUGCGCGUAAUGAAAGUGAACGGAGGUGGGAACCCUUCGGGGUGCACCAUCGACCGGUCCUGACGUCUUCUGAAGGAUCUGAGUAAGAGCAUAGCUGUUGGGACCCGAAAGAUGGUGAACUAUGCCUGAAUAGGGUGAAGCCAGAGGAAACUCUGGUGGAGGCUCGCAGCGGUUCUGACGUGCAAAUCGAUCGUCAAAUUUGGGUA
rnacentral:rRNA from 1 species